UACGAAGGGGGCUAGCGUUGUUCGGAAUUACUGGGCGUAAAGCGCACGUAGGCGGGUCGUUAAGUCAGGGGUGAAAUCCCGGAGCUCAACUCCGGAACUGCCUUUGAUACUGGCGACCUUGAGAUCGAGAGAGGUGAGUGGAAUUCCGAGUGUAGAGGUGAAAUUCGUAGAUAUUCGGAAGAACACCAGUGGCGAAGGCGGCUCACUGGCUCGAUACUGACGCUGAGGUGCGAAAGCGUGGGGAGCAAACAGG
rnacentral:rRNA from 1 species